UUGUAGAUCUCAUGGACUU
rnacentral:miRNA from 1 species